AAAUGACUCCAAUAAAUAUCUCAGCUCUCACAUCAAUGAAUAACGUAGUAAAAUACGAUAUCUUAUGUGAAUUGCAAAUUUUUCUAAACAUCAAGUUUUUAAAUUUAAGUUGCAAGUUACAUCUGAAGCUUUUAGGUCGAAAUAAUCGAAGCACGUCUACUUGGUAUCA
rnacentral:rRNA from 1 species